CUGAUUUUGGAGAAGUCACAAGAUUACUUCUCCUUCCAAAAAUCACUCAAUUUAAAGAAUGUCACAAAAUUCUCCUUUCCUGUCUCCCAAUCCCCUCCACCAAUGAGAAACCAGAUGUCUCAAUCCUCAUCAUACUAUUUUUCCUCUUUUCACUCCCUCUCAAUUGCAUAUUAACUUUUUUGAAACCCAAGGUUCUGCAACCUUGGCUAUUGAGAGCCUGGAUCCCAGUUUAUUUCUGCAACCACUUAUAUUGCUAAACAAAUUAUCUGGAAGUAACUGCUCAGUGUUCUUUAUUCCACUAAUAGCAGAAUUGAGACUACAAGUGUCUCUGUGUAACCACUGGUCUUUUCCAAAGGAACAUUGUAGGACUUCAGUUCUAUCAAUUGAAUUCCUCAGUGAAAGAUUUGAAUCUCCUGUCCCAGGACCUCCAAAUCCUCCUGAAUCAUAUCCAAAUGGAUCUCCUGAAAGGAAUCUCUAUAAGUGCCUUGGAAUCAGAGAAGCAAAACUUGUAGCAAGAGACUCCUUCAAAGCUGCCCUAAGAAUGAAAUAUAUUCCAGAGUAUCCAAGAGGAGAUGUUUCCAAGGACCAGGGACAUCUGAGACUCAAAGUGAAAUAUGCUGAUUAAAUGGAGAUUGGGAUUGGGUUACCAAGUUACAAGGAGAUAAUGUGAUUUAUAAAGGCGAUGGGGGAGCCAGGUUGCUGUGACGACACCAGGAGUAUUACAUUUCUGGAAAUGCCGAGAUGCGACUGGUUGAAACUAUAUCUGCGCAACAUCUCCUCACACCCUGCAGGCCCCAAAGCCCACUUGGCUCUGUUUUCUUCCUGGAUAAUA
rnacentral:lncRNA from 1 species